rnacentral:rRNA from 1 species
CCUACGGGUGGCAGCAGUGAGGAAUAUUGGUCAAUGGACGAGAGUCUGAACCAGCAAAGUAGCGUGAAGGAUGACUGCCCUAUGGGUUGUAAACUUCUUUUAUAUGGGAAUAAAAUGUUCCACGUGUGGGAUUUUGUAUGUACCAUAUGAAUAAGGAUCGGCUAACUCCGUGCCAGCAGCCGCGGUAAUACGGAGGAUCCGAGCGUUAUCCGGAUUUAUUGGGUUUAACGGGAGCGUAGGUGGAUUGUUAAGUCAGUUGUGAAAGUUUGCGGCGCAACCGUAAAAGUGCAGUUGAAACUGGCAGUCUUGAGUACAGUAGAGGUGAGCGGAAUGCGUGGUGUAGCGGUGAAAUGCUUAGAUAUCACGAAGAACUCCGAUUGCGAAGGCAGUUCACUGGACUGCAACUGACACUGAGGCUCGAAAGUGUGGGUAUCAAACAGGAUUAGAUACCCGAGUAGUC